GACGAACGCUGGCGGCGUGCUUAACACAUGCAAGUCGAACGGAAAGGCCCUGCUUUUGUGGGGUGCUCGAGUGGCGAACGGGUGAGUAACACGUGAGUAACCUGCCCUUGACUUUGGGAUAACUUCAGGAAACUGGGGCUAAUACCGGAUAGGAGCUCCUGCUGCAUGGUGGGGGUUGGAAAGUUUCGGCGGUUGGGGAUGGACUCGCGGCUUAUCAGCUUGUUGGUGGGGUAGUGGCUUACCAAGGCUUUGACGGGUAGCCGGCCUGAGAGGGUGGCCGGCCACAUUGGGCCUGCGAUAGGGCCCAGACUCCUACGGGGGGCAGCAGUGGUGAAUAUUGCGCAAUGGGCGGAGGCCUGAUGCAGCAACGCCGCGUGCGGGAUGACGGCCUUCGGGUUGUAAACCGCUUUCGCCUGUGACGAGGCGUGAGUGACGGUAAUGGGUAAAGAAGCACCGGCUAACUACGUG
rnacentral:rRNA from 1 species